rnacentral:lncRNA from 1 species
AAUUCUUAAGUAACAUCAUUUAUUAGUAUAAACCAACAUCAUGCUAUACAAAAUUUUAGUGAACAUUUUACAUACAUUUUUUCAGUCCCCAAAUCCAACCAGUGAUGUGGAUCGAAAUAACUCCCAUUUUACUGAUGAAGAAAAUCAAGACUUAAAAAAGUUUAAUAAGCACAUUGUCUGCUUGAAUCACAACUGAGCAAUUGAAUGUCUUAUGAGACCGCUGAACUUUUUGAAAUCUCUUUUAUAAAAAAAAAAUUAAAGUUCUCACAAAAUUACAUUCGUGAUGUGAAUACUCCCCGUUAAACUAUCAACCUUUCCUAAUUCUAUAUACAGGCUUACAAGUAUUGAUGUCAUACAGCGACCCUCUUACUAGUGAAAUUCUUUACGUUUCAAUAAAUAAAUAAAUAAGAGAUUUUUAAACUGAAGAGAAACUGAAAGUGAGGGUGCUCACAGACAACACAAAAAAACUGUUUAUAGUACUGCCAGCUACCCGAUUCACCUCAUUUCAAUUCUAAAGCGCUAUAAGAGAAACCCAAGCUUUUCCCUCCUUUUGGUUGGCUUUACUCUGACCUGUAUCAAAAUGGCACUUCCACGUCAAUAUAAAUCCAUUAUUACAUAACUUCAAGAUAACCGUCAUACUCUUAUGUCGAAAACUGUAGUUAAAAAUCAAUUACUGAAAACAAAAGGAGGACAGCAUAUUUUAAUAUGAAGAAGGCUGGUGCUGCCUAGAAUGAAUGGAGAUAUCGCUUACAGCAUCCCUCCCAAUCCGAAAGGGGAGCAGACGGUCAAAGUCAUCACUAGCUCCAACAAGCCGGAAAGGUGCUUUAAAAACCAAAAAGUGGCCACUCGCUAAACUCGAGGAGGGGUGGGGCCCGUUCUUUUUGGCGGCUGGCACUAGAGACUACCAGACAGAAAGAAAUCCGUUGGUGGCCGGCACCUCGCUCCAAGGGUGGGCGCAGGCUACUUUCAAGGCGCAGCAGCCUGGAGGCACUUGAGUCCUCGGGCCCCGGGAAUCUACUGAGAGGUGGCUCUGGAGGCCCCGAGGAGACGAGGGCCUCCGGGCCGACCGAUCGAUCCUAGCCCUGGCUAAGACGGGAGCCCCGUCAGGGCCCGAGGCGAUUCCCUCCCAAACGGAAUCGGAAGCCAAUCGACAAAGUGGGCGAAAAAAAAAAAAAAAAAUCCCCGGAGGAGCGCUCCGGCCGCGGGCCCGGCCUCCCCGGGCUCCCGGUCCACUGGUUUUCCCGAGGCCUUGGAGGGGGGGAGAAGCCCGAGCCGCGUGCCCAUCCCCUCCCCCCCCACCGUCCCCCACCCCCACCCCGCUCGGCCUCCGCAGCCGCCCUGGCUCGGCCGCCGCCGCCGCCUCCUCCUCCCGCAGCUGAGGUAGCCGGUCAAGCGGUUUCCUCACGCGUUCGGAAGCGUGGACUCACCCGCCGCUAAGAAAACGGUACUGUCUUCGCGGCCUCUGGGCGUCAGGUGAUGGAGUGGGCUCCACCGGUUCGAGGUGUCUGCGCGCCCGCCGCCCGACUCCAGAGACUGGGUCCCGAAGCGCCUGCUCGCCUAGGCCGCAAAACACAGCCGCGCUGCGCGGGGAGCUCCGGGAGGGCUUCCUCUUGCCCGGCGUGCACUGCGCCAGGAGGCGUGGAAAAGGGAAAACCAUAGAGAAGGGGGUGCGUAGAUAGUCUCCGCCGUCGCCUCUGACUCACUAAGUACAGAAAGAUGACCAUAGAGUGGGAUUGUCUCAUGGGACCUAGAGAGGCUCGAGCUGUAAAUUACCACACACCCUGCCAUUUUUGAUUGGAGCCGACUGAAUCUUAUGACUGUGCGACGCCAUCUUGAGGUCAAGGUUCCGGCUGCUUACCCGCGCGGGGCUUGGUACAGGUUUUCUCACAUUUUUGGUAGUUCGUUUUCCAGGAAUUAACAACCUUGGUCUCCUGAUUCUUGGAGGUUCGAUGACCUGAUACCUGAUCGGAACAGAGAACCUCAAUAGAAAGCCCAGAUGUCGUUUGUUCUUCGAAA